UCUACCAACAAGGACAGCUCACCAGUGGGAACUGAUAGAUAAGACUGCUGAUGUGCUCUCAUCCAUUGAAGAGCUGACCAGAAACGUGAACAGAAAGACUGCACCUGAUGGGAUCCCUGCCAUAACAGAUGUGUUCUGUCCAGUGAAGGCAGUGGAGAA